rnacentral:rRNA from 2 species
AGAGUUUGAUCCUGGCUCAGAGUGAACGCUGGCGGCGUGCCUAAUACAUGCAAGUCGAACGAUGAAGCUUCUAGCUUGCUAGAAUGCUGAUUAGUGGCGCACGGGUGAGUAACGCAUAGGUCAUGUGCCUCUUAGUUUGGGAUAGCCAUUGGAAACGAUGAUUAAUACUAGAUACUCCCUACGGGGGAAAGAUUUAUCGCUAAGAGAUCAGCCUAUGUCCUAUCAGCUUGUUGGUAAGGUAAUGGCUUACCAAGGCUAUGACGGGUAUCCGGCCUGAGAGGGUGAACGGACACACUGGAACUGAGACACGGUCCAGACUCCUACGGGAGGCAGCAGUAGGGAAUAUUGCUCAAUGGGGGAAACCCUGAAGCAGCAACGCCGCGUGGAGGAUGAAGGUUUUAGGAUUGUAAACUCCUUUUGUUAGAGAAGAUAAUGACGGUAUCUAACGAAUAAGCACCGGCUAACUCCGUGCCAGCAGCCGCGGUAAUACGGAGGGUGCAAGCGUUACUCGGAAUCACUGGGCGUAAAGAGCGCGUAGGCGGGAUAGUCAGUCAGGUGUGAAAUCCUAUGGCUUAACCAUAGAACUGCAUUUGAAACUACUAUUCUAGAGUGUGGGAGAGGUAGGUGGAAUUCUUGGUGUAGGGGUAAAAUCCGUAGAGAUCAAGAGGAAUACUCAUUGCGAAGGCGACCUGCUGGAACAUUACUGACGCUGAUUGCGCGAAAGCGUGGGGAGCAAACAGGAUUAGAUACCCUGGUAGUCCACGCCCUAAACGAUGGAUGCUAGUUGUUGGAGGGCUUAGUCUCUCCAGUAAUGCAGCUAACGCAUUAAGCAUCCCGCCUGGGGAGUACGGUCGCAAGAUUAAAACUCAAAGGAAUAGACGGGGACCCGCACAAGCGGUGGAGCAUGUGGUUUAAUUCGAAGAUACACGAAGAACCUUACCUAGGCUUGACAUUGAGAGAAUCCGCUAGAAAUAGUGGAGUGUCUGGCUUGCCAGACCUUGAAAACAGGUGCUGCACGGCUGUCGUCAGCUCGUGUCGUGAGAUGUUGGGUUAAGUCCCGCAACGAGCGCAACCCCCUUUCUUAGUUGCUAACAGGUUAUGCUGAGAACUCUAAGGAUACUGCCUCCGUAAGGAGGAGGAAGGUGGGGACGACGUCAAGUCAUCAUGGCCCUUACGCCUAGGGCUACACACGUGCUACAAUGGGGUGCACAAAGAGAAGCAAUACUGCGAAGUGGAGCCAAUCUUCAAAACACCUCUCAGUUCGGAUUGUAGGCUGCAACUCGCCUGCAUGAAGCUGGAAUCGCUAGUAAUCGCAAAUCAGCCAUGUUGCGGUGAAUACGUUCCCGGGUCUUGUACUCACCGCCCGUCACACCAUGGGAGUUGUGUUUGCCUUAAGUCAGGAUGCUAAAUUGGCUACUGCCCACGGCACACACAGCGACUGGGGUGAAGUCGUAACAAGGUAACCGUAGGUGAACCUGCGGUUG